GCGUUAACGAACUCUUCUCGAUCAUGCAGCAACUUCGAAGAAGUUUCAACCGAAUGCUCGAAUAUUUCAUUUCAGAUCACACUCGUCCAUUGAUUGUUUUCAAUCAUCCACUGCACUCCUUCAAACAGGAUUCAAAGCGUAUUACACACAUAACACAAUUUAUUGAUUAUAGUCCGAACAGAUUUCACAUAUUCGUUUAAGAAAUUGCGGUUGUCUUAUUUUUGGCGACGGCUGAAAUGACUGAGUUACGGAGGAAAGGAGGGGAGAGCGUUUCACCCGGAACCCGCUAGAAGACUCAUCGUAAGAACGAGUGGGUGGAACAUAAAGCAGCGGCGUCGAGAGAAAUGUUGAUUGCGCUGUCACCCACAAUUAGAUGGCGUAAUCAUUUACACAAAUCUCGAAGUUAAUUUCUAUGCUGAUGGAUUCAACGGAUCAAAUCUGUUUCACGAUGAAAUGGAAGAGAAUCGAAAGGGCAUCUCCUCGAAGAAGAAAAUUCUGCCGAAUUGUUCCACUUUCUAUUGCAUCUCGGCACAGCAAAAGCGAAGGUGUUUAAAUCGAUCUUGUUAGAGGAAUUAGAGCAGCCUAACAGAUAAGAUACGAGAGUGCAACGACGCCACGCAUCGAUAUUCUCCAAGAAUUCUCACUUGCAAGAAAUGCGCGUCACUCAAGAGCUAUUCGAAGUCGUUGUUUCACUUAGUCGUGCAAUUCCCUGCUACACUGUCCGACAAAAUCAAACUUUUUUUCUGGGUUCCUAUAGCCACUAUGAAAUUCUUGUAGA